UCCUCACCACCACAGAGUUUAUGCUCUUAUCAGUUUGCUCUUAUCUGAGUUGAUUGGCCAUGGCUUCUUCUAUCGUUUUCGCUGCAACUCCGGUUACUGGGUUUCUCUCUGUUCCUCCUUUGAAGUCUCGGAGAUUUCUUCAUGUUUGUUCUUCACUCGACGCCGAUGUUUCGGACAUGAGUGUUAACGGUGAAGAAGAUGCAAGCUGUGAUUAGAUCUUUCGUCUCUGGUGGAAAUGUUGUGAAAGGUUCUAUGAUGCAACAUCUCCGUGUGAUUAACCCGGCGAUUUAGUCUUCUGUGUUUGUUGGUUCACGCUAUGAAUCAACUAAACCUGCUCGUAUGGAGGAAACUGGAUUUGAGAGUACGACUAUUUCUGAUGUCAUGAAAGCCAAAGGCAAAAGUGCUGAUGGAUCUUGGCUUUGGUGGUUGUGAAACCUGGUGAGCAACAAGCUCUUGCUGGGAUCAUUACUGAGAGAGGUAGAUACUAUAUCUGGACUGGACCAACAAAGAAAGAGAUAACCGAAUCAGGCAUAUUUCGGUAAUCCAAGACAAGGGCAUGAUCGGAAUGGUGUCCAUUGGAGAUGUGGUCCGAGCUGUGGUGAGUGAGCAUCGAGAGGAGCUUCAACGCCUUAAUGCGUUUAUUCAGGGAGGUUACUAGAUCUUGAAGAUUGGUAAGACAAA